AGGGUUUUUGGGAUGGGGAGUUCAUUUCCGACAUCGGAUUUGACAAAGGAGACUUACAUGUAGCUGAACCAAUGAUGACGAGGAGAAGAAAUAAGGCUCGAAUCUUUACAUCGCUGAUUCGCUGGAUUUAGGCCGUUUCCAACGAAGCAAAAGAUGGAAGGGAGUUGACAAUGUUGGGAAGACCUUAUGGCCGAAGUUUGAGAGGCUACGGUGCUUGGAGGAAGGAGAAGCGAAGAGAGAGAAAUGGCUACAUGAGAGAGAAAAUAGAGAAAAGAG
rnacentral:lncRNA from 1 species